GUGCUUGCUUUAGCAGCACAUAUACUAAAAUUGGAAUGAUACAGAGAAGAUAAGCAUGGCCCCUGUGCAAGGAUGACACACAAAUUCAUGAAGCAUUCCAUAAAAAA
rnacentral:snRNA from 1 species